AGGAUGAACGCUAGCUACAGGCUUAACACAUGCAAGUCGAGGGGCAGCAUGGUCUUAGCUUGCUAAGGCCGAUGGCGACCGGCGCACGGGUGAGUAACACGUAUCCAACCUGCCGUCUACUCUUGGACAGCCUUCUGAAAGGAAGAUUAAUACAAGAUGGCAUCAUGAGUCCGCAUGUUUACAUGAUUAAAGGUAUUCCGGUAGACGAUGGGGAUGCGUUCCAUUAGAUAGUAGGCGGGGUAACGGCCCACCUAGUCUUCGAUGGAUAGGGGUUCUGAGAGGAAGGUCCCCCACAUUGGAACUGAGACACGGUCCAAACUCCUACGGGAGGCAGCAGUGAGGAAUAUUGGUCAAUGGGCGAGAGCCUGAACCAGCCAAGUAGCGUGAAGGAUGACUGCCCUAUGGGUUGUAAACUUCUUUUAUAAAGGAAUAAAGUCGGGUAUGGAUACCCGUUUGCAUGUACUUUAUGAAUAAGGAUCGGCUAACUCCGUGCCAGCAGCCGCGGUAAUACGGAGGAUCCGAGCGUUAUCCGGAUUUAUUGGGUUUAAAGGGAGCGUAGAUGGAUGUUUAAGUCAGUUGUGAAAGUUUGCGGCUCAACCGUAAAAUUGCAGUUGAUACUGGAUAUCUUGAGUGCAGUUGAGGCAGGCGGAAUUCGUGGUGUAGCGGUGAAAUGCUUAGAUAUCACGAAGAACUCCGAUUGCGAAGGCAGCCUGCUAAGCUGCAACUGACAUUGAGGCUCGAAAGUGUGGGUAUCAAACAGGAUUAGAUACCCUGGUAGUCCACACGGUAAACGAUGAAUACUCGCUGUUUGCGAUAUACUGCAAGCGGCCAAGCGAAAGCGUUAAGUAUUCCACCUGGGGAGUACGCCGGCAACGGUGAAACUCAAAGGAAUUGACGGGGGCCCGCACAAGCGGAGGAACAUGUGGUUUAAUUCGAUGAUACGCGAGGAACCUUACCCGGGCUUAAAUUGCAGAUGAAUUACGGUGAAAGCCGUAAGCCGCAAGGCAUCUGUGAAGGUGCUGCAUGGUUGUCGUCAGCUCGUGCCGUGAGGUGUCGGCUUAAGUGCCAUAACGAGCGCAACCCUUGUUGUCAGUUACUAACAGGUUCCGCUGAGGACUCUGACAAGACUGCCAUCGUAAGAUGUGAGGAAGGUGGGGAUGACGUCAAAUCAGCACGGCCCUUACGUCCGGGGCUACACACGUGUUACAAUGGGGGGUACAGAGGGCCGCUACCACGCGAGUGGAUGCCAAUCCCCAAAACCUCUCUCAGUUCGGACUGGAGUCUGCAACCCGACUCCACGAAGCUGGAUUCGCUAGUAAUCGCGCAUCAGCCACGGCGCGGUGAAUACGUUCCCGGGCCUUGUACACACCGCCCGUCAAGCCAUGGGAGCCGGGGGUACCUGAAGUGCGUAACCGCGAGGAGCGCCCUAGGGUAAAACUGGU
rnacentral:rRNA from 1 species